rnacentral:misc_RNA from 1 species
AUACCCAUGGGCGGUCUUUCCGUCCGUCUUGGGCGUCGCGGCCCGCGUCGCCUCGAAUCCAUUGCCGUGGAGCGGACGAGAUCCUCUGGGACGACGCCGCCUCCCCGGAAGCCAUUCUAAGG